rnacentral:rRNA from 1 species
UGGGGAAUUUUGGACAAUGAGCGAAAGCCUGAUCCAGCAAUGCCGCGUGUGUGAAGAAGGCCUUCGGGUUGUAAAGCACUUUUGUCCGGAAAGAAAUCCUUGGCUCUAAUACAGUCGGGGGAUGACGGUACCGGAAGAAUAAGCACCGGCUAACUACGUGCCAGCAGCCGCGGUAAUACGUAGGGUGCAAGCGUUAAUCGGAAUUACUGGGCGUAAAGCGUGCGCAGGCGGUUUGCUAAGACCGAUGUGAAAUCCCCGGGCUCAACCUGGGAACUGCAUUGGUGACUGGCAGGCUAGAGUAUGGCAGAGGGGGGUAGAAUUCCACGUGUAGCAGUGAAAUGCGUAGAGAUGUGGAGGAAUACCGAUGGCGAAGGCAGCCCCCUGGGCCAAUACUGACGCUCAUGCACGAAAGCGUGGGGAGCAAACAGGAUUAGAUACCCUGGUAGUCCACGCCCUAAACGAUGUCAACUAGUUGUUGGGGAUUCAUUUCCUUAGUAACGUAGCUAACGCGUGAAGUUGACCGCCUGGGGAGUACGGUCGCAAGAUUAAAACUCAAAGGAAUUGACGGGGUCAUAGCUGUUUCCU